rnacentral:rRNA from 1 species
UUACUGAUAAUACCGGAUAAGUUAGAAGUAGCAUUACUAAGUAAAUGAAAGGUAGCAAUACGCUAUAUGAGAGCUUUGCAUCCUAUUAGCUAGUUGGUGGGGUAAAAGCCUACCAAGGCGAUGAUAGGUAGCCGGCCUGAGAGGGUGGACGGCACAAGGGGACUGAGAUACGGCCCUUACUCCUACGGGAGGCAGCAGCC